rnacentral:misc_RNA from 1 species
UUUCCGUAGGUGAACCUGCGGAAGGAUCAUUAUUGAAUAAACCUGAUGUGGUUGUCGCUGGCCCUUUCGGGAGCAUGUGCACACCCGUCGUCUUUAUCUUUCCACCUGUGCACCUUUUGUAGACCUGGAUGUAACACUUUCCGAGGCAACUCGGUCGGGAGGAAUGCUGUCAGCUUUCCUGGAAUGUCCAGGCCUAUGUUUUCAUAUACCCCAAAGAAUGUAACAGAAUGUAUUAUUGGGCCUUGUGCCUAUAAACUAUAUACAACUUUCAGCAACGGAUCUCUUGGCUCUC